AAAAAAGACAUUCUUUCUGGCUAAUGUGCCAUAUUAGCAAAACAAAUGCCGUGGAGGAAAGAGUCGUGGUACGUCCUCCAGCAAUCUCUCUGCCAAAGCGUCUGCCACGCCAAAGGACAAACGCUGUGAGACCGUGGUGUUUGUUUGACGGCCGAAGUCCAGGGCUUGCUGGUUCACCUCUGUGAGCCUCAGCUGUGCCAUCAUAGGGAGGACGGUCGUCUUCCCUCAGCCAGGAAUGAGGAAUGGACACGCAAGCACCGAGUGAACGGGAAGGCACCACAAGAACGUGAAAUAUGGAUUGAAGCAACGUCACUCCUAUGUUGGCCACUCAGUGGUGACACCCCAAGAAACACAGAUAAAACCUGCAGCCGCUCAGGAGAUUCACUGGGGUGCUGCAGUGUGAACAGGUGUACUUGGCCCCGAGUCUUCCCAAUAGAGGCGGUAUGUGUGUUAACUUCAGGCGCCCCUUCCAGCCGGUCACCUUGGCUUGCCCCCAACGCUGACCUCUGCAGCCACACCAGAGGAGAGAAAGCUGCUGUGGCAGAGAGAGAACAAGAGGUAGA